UCCUGGCUCAGAUUGAACGCUGGCGGAAUGCUUUACACAUGCAAGUCGAACGGUAGAGGGGGCAACCCUUGAGAGUGGCGAACGGGUGAGUAAUAUAUCGGAACGUGCCCAGUCGUGGGGAUAACGUAGCGAAAGUUACGCUAAUACCGCAUACGAUCUAAGGAUGAAAGCGGGGGAUCGCAAGACCUCGCGCGAUUGGAGCGGCCGAUAUCAGAUUAGGUAGUUGGUGAGGUAAAGGCUCACCAAGCCGACGAUCUGUAGCUGGUCUGAGAGGACGACCAGCCACACUGGGACUGAGACACGGCCCAGACUCCUACGGGAGGCAGCAGUGGGGAAUUUUGGACAAUGGGCGCAAGCCUGAUCCAGCAAUGCCGCGUGCAGGAUGAAGGCCUUCGGGUUGUAAACUGCUUUUGUACGGAACGAAACGGUGAGCUCUAAUACAGUUUGCUAAUGACGGUACCGUAAGAAUAAGCACCGGCUAACUACGUG
rnacentral:rRNA from 1 species